rnacentral:pre_miRNA from 1 species
GAUGUACUCCCUCCGUCCGGAAAUACUUAUCAUCAAAAUGAAUAAAAUGGGAUGUAUCUAGAUGUAUAUUAGUUCUAGAUACAUCCCUUUUCAUCCAUUUUGAUGACAAGUAUUUUCGGACGGAGGGAGUAGUAC